GUGUGCGAUCAUAUUAGUACGUAUGCAUUAGAUCCCAUCGAAACUCCGAAGUUAAGCGUGCUUGACGAGAAUGGUACUAAAAACGAGCUUUGUUUAGGAUUUCCACAGACACAGGCA
rfam:Cephalotus follicularis DNA, scaffold: scaffold2782, isolate: St1.